rnacentral:lncRNA from 1 species
GUUUUUUUUUGUCACACUGGGCAUUGCGUCGCAGCGGCAAUGAACAAUAGGGUACUUAUGUAAAGAUAAACCUUCAAUUUUGCCACAUCAUAUGACAUAUGGGGUGAAUGCAGGGAGGAAAAUGUGCUUACAUUUAUAGUAACAAUGUGUGGUUAAACUUCUUUAAGCACCCAUCACUACAUUGUAGAGAAGAGUUAUUCUAUGGAUGCUUAAUAGCGAUAUGUAUAUAUGCCCACUAUAAUUUAUUUUUUCAUUUUUAAAAACAUAGUACAUGCAUAGAUGCUCACAUAGUCACAUGCACGGGUACACUUAUACCUUCUUUUAGAAUGUUAUACCUAUUAGCAUUUAUAGUUAGAAGAUUAGACUAAUGGGUCUUGAGAUUGACAAAGUCAUCAAAAGCACAUUACCAUUGACACGCACAUCAUACACUACAUAAUAAAUGUGUGCAUCACUGAGAUAUAUCAAAUCCGGGUUAUGAUUCUGAUAGGCAGGGAAGCACCCCUACUAACUACCAAGACAAUGCUUAACUAGUGCUCAAAUUCAGACCAUCUAAGCAAACAAAAAUAGAUGUGCUUAUAGGGAGAAAAAGGUGCUUCAAUUACAUUAGUAACACCGUGAACUUGUUCAAGAACCCACUCCAUUGCAUUGAGAGUAGAGUUAUUCUAAGAGUGCUUAAGGGCAUGUACAAUGGUCAUCUGCAGGUCGUCUUUUUUUAUCCAUGCUGGCACUUUCAUCUAACGUGUACAACACUUAAUGAAGGGAGAGCAGCGCGGACUGCAGCUUGCUUGUCCCCUUUCCAUGUCCCCAUUCGUGUCCCCCAACACGUGGAAGCCAUCUAUUGGCCCCCAUCUAGGGACUGGGUCCUAUUUUUUUUCAAUUAAGGCGUCAACAAGCCCGCACCGAGAAAACGGAGACAUCUCAUCAGUUCCGUCCUAUCAAUGUUUAGAUCCAGCAACCUACCGAGGAGGUACUUGAGGUAGUUUUUUUAUGCGUGGGACUAGCCGAGAUCAGGAACUCGAAGGUGAACUCGAACACAUGAUUUAGACAGGUUCGGACCGCUUGUGUCGCAUAAUACCCUACGUUCUAUGUGUUGAUUGUGUUGUAUUGAUUGAACUUAUUUGGAGGAGGUGUCUACCUCGCCUUAUAUUGCCGAGGGUAGGAUUACAGGUCGGUUGUUUACAAGAAUACUAGUCAGAUUCGACUAAAGAGUCAUACUCUAAUUGCUACGAGUAGUUUUCUAAUCCUCGACUAGUUCUUAUCCUCCACAUAGACCACGUGAUCCUACACCGUAGUCUCCAUGUCUGACACGUCUCGGUGUACAACCCCGUAUGUAGGACUGUCCAACCUUCUGAUGGGCCCAUAAAUGUAUGGACGACAAGCCUUCGAGUACGUUUUAGUCAAAUGUAGCAGUCCCGAUUAGUUUUGUAGGCUUCUCCGACUAGCUUGUGGUAAUCUUCGAGUACUCCAAUGGAUCUCAGUCUUCAAAUGUACUCGAGUACUGCCAUGCGGCUAGAAUGUGCUCAAAUCUUAUUUAACUUGGUCUUGAAUCUUCAAUCUUGAAUUUUAUAUGGAAGUGCGAUGAAAAUCGCACUCCAUAUGGAGUAGCCCCCCGAGCCUUAGGUUGAAUCGAAGAAUCAGGUCGAGGGUCAAUCUUGUAAUUUCACCUCUCUUUUUCCUUUAAAUCCAAAGAAAAAACUUUUUAUCCAAUGGGCACAUGGCACGCAGCCCCCGAGUCGUUACAUGACUAGUUUGGUUUUGGUUAUAAGGGUCAACGACUAGUCAACAUGACCAUUCGCCAAUAGUAACCUUAUCUUCUUCUGAUAAUUUUGGAAACUGCUGACCGUUGCAUAAUCUUCGGACAUUUUAAAAAUAGAAUAUUCCCGUUAAUCUCGCCACUAUUUUAACUGUGGCGCGGUUAUAAAUAAUAAAGGAAAUCAUACCUUCCGUUUUCACCCAAGCCAUUCUGCCUGUUCAUCUUCCUCAUUGUAGCCCUAACGCCGCCGCUCGCUGAUCCCUUGAGCUUGAGUGCCACCGACUCCCCCAUUUUAACCCCAAGCAUAUGCGCAGGAAGACCCUUGUGGCAGCACAAAUGGGAAAGAAGGCAACUUCUAGCAAGGUGGUGGAGAGCCAAAAGAGGAAGGCCGCAAAGAAAGAACUUCAACUGCCGUUGCUGAAGUACGGCAAGAUGGACCAGACCGUUCCGCCAACGCAAGCAUGCGCCUGGAAGAAAUUCAUGAUGAAGGAGGCGGACAUUCAGGCAUUGGUGGAUGCUAAUCUGCUCCGAGACCAAGAGUCCAUCAACUAGAGAGAAGCCCGCGGCAAUCCCUAGCUGAUGGAAAACUACACUCACGAGACGGUGAUCUUCACACACUUCAUCGAACGAGGUUUGGCUUUGCCCACAUCUGAAUUCUUCCGCGGACUGCUGAAUUACUACAAGAUAGAAUUAGUGCAUCUCAACCCAAAUUCUAUCCUACAUAUUGCCAUCUUCGUGCAUCUGUGCAAAGCUUUCCUUGGAAUUCAGCCACAUUUUCAACUCUUCUGCAAAUUCUUUAGAGUUAAGCCUCAGCCUCAGUUAGACCAUACAGAAGUAGUUGGAGGGGCAGGCAUUCAACUGCAGGAGAAAGUGAAAAGCUUGUACUUGGAUUAUGAGCUGAUCGAUUCUCAUUCUGGCUGGAAGGACAAGUGGUUUUAUAUUGGUAAUCAUGAGCCCCGACUACCUAAGGAGACAAGCCACCGCCCAAUUUGGAAUAACCAGUGGUUGGACAAGCCUUCCUACUCAGACAGCUUUCAACUACCCAAGCUUCUGGAGAAGAUCGCCGUACUCAAAUGGAAGGGGCUGACAGGAGUAGGCGUAGCCUUCAACUUCAUGAGGAGGCGAGUCCAACCCCUGCAAUUGCGCUGCACUUGGGGGUAUGACUACUCGGGCCCCAAUGACCCAUCCCAGAUGACAUCAAACGACUUGUCCGUGGAUGAGGUUAUGGCGUGAUUGAGGUGCCUCUUCAAACACGCGAGAGCAAUCCCGAUCAUCGUGCAAGAACACUGCGCUGCCAACCCACCAAGCAGUGUAAGUACCCAUAGCAUCAGCCCCCAAGUACCAAUUUUGUACUUGUCAUUUUACUGACUUGUCUUUUCAUGCAGGAAGAGAUUCACUUGUAUUGCUCCAUCCUCCUCCACCCAGCUCGGAUGGCUCUGAUGCCGCUCCUCGAGUGCACACGGCUACCGAAGCUCAGAAGGUAGUCGAGGAGGAGGAGGAGGAGGAGGAGGAGGGGUUUUCUUCUUUCAGCAGCUUUGAUUCAGAGUUUGCUGAAAAAUUUGUCGUCAAGGCCCGACCGUCUGACAAGGCGGGGUCUUCCUCCGGGACAUCCAAGUGCGAAGCCGAAGAUGACCUGGAGGCUGGGCUAGCACCACCGCCGAAGAAGAAGUGCACUGUUGCCGUCAAGCACGUGGUGAAGAAGCCGCCCACCGCUAAUGAAGUCCGUCCUCCGAUAAUCACAUACGAAGAAGGACAAGAUCGUGAGGAUCGAGUACUCGUAAGUUGUUUCCUUUAUCGCCAUGCCUAACUUGAUUCUGACAUUGAUGAUUUGCAGGUAGUCAGAGGGGAGACAAAGGUAGAGAAGACGGCUGCAGAAGUCAUGCAGCAGGAGCUGCCGGUGAUCAAGGAGGUCAUCGAGCUAGAAGAUGACGAGAAGCCUCUUGUCACCAGGGCCAACCCCAUCCUUGCGCAGACUACUCAAAUGGUGGAGACGACAUCCAAGUCUAGUGAAGAUAAAACUGCAAUCCAACAAGCCACGCCAAAGAAAGCGUUGCUCACUACCAAGUCCUUGAGCCUGGGGGGAGAGCCCUCCUUGAAGAUAAGGCGAUCCACAAAGUAAGUACUGGACUGUUAUCAGAGUACUGAUUGUGACUUGGUGUUGUCUUGUAGUGUGUAUUGACACUUGUCUUGUGCAGAUAUUCCACCAGCGUGGACAUUGGAGGUCCAGGCCCGAAGUCUACGGCUGAUGGCAGCAGCUGCUCAGUCCAAAACCUCACCCCGGCACCUACAACUCCACCGCCAGAGGAGCAACCUGCAUCAGAAGUAGCUCCAGGUGUUGUAUCCCUUAUUGCUGUGCUUGUGCAUGAUGUUAUUGCAUCACUAAAUGUUGUUGUAGUGCCAGCCCUCGAGCUGCCAGUAGUUGAGCCCAUCACGGCGACUACUUCUGCUGUGGUGGCUACAUUGGUAGUCCCCGAGCCAGAGGCGAAGAUCAAGAUGGAAGUAGCAAGUACUUCUGGAGCUGAGGCUACACUUGUAGCCCCCGAGCCAGAAGUGGAGGUUGAAGCUGCCGGGGCUCUGCAAGUGUUGGCUGUCAUCCCACCGUCUGAGGCGGGAUCGUCUACCAACAGCGGCAUGACUUCUCACUUAUCUUCUGAAGCUGGUCCUUCAACUACCCGAGCACUGGUUCCUCUUGGUGCCCCAAUCGCCGAAGAGCACAAGGAACCGUGGAUAGCUGAAGGGGUGGAUCUAGAGAAGAUCCAGCUUCUUGCUGACCCUCUGACCACCGUGGAGAUGGAGGCCACGGUCAUGGAGAUGCACCGCUACUCAUGAAGUACGACGGCCAAGCUACCGAGUAUUGUAACCUCGUCCAACAAGCCGCGAAGGGGAAGGACUGCCUCCGGUAGCACAACAAGGCAUUGAAGAAUCGAUUGGAUGGUAUCUUGUCACCUCCCGCUGGUUUCUAAGUACCAAUUUGCGCUUCAGUUUCCUCUCCUUCUACGUUAGAGGUGAGCUCAUCCUGCGAGACAUCGUCUAGAUGACGUUUGCAUCAUGGAUUUCUUUCUGGUAGUUCUUCACCAUCAUUUUCUUAUGCAGCAACGAUAGCGAGGAGUUCCUGCUCUAGAGAAAAACUACCCGAACUUGAUGUAAUGAUCUCUGUGGGGCCGUCUUCCUCGUAGAUGGGCGACAGAGGAGUUCCCUCCUGGUAUGGGAGAGUUUCAAGGUAGACGACAAGGCGUGACUCGUCGUCCUUGGUGAGAGCGGGUGGCUUCAUGUUGGGCAAUAGACGAAUCUGCCUUGUGGAGUAUAUUUGAUAACCAAACCCUGCUGUGGACCUGAUAAUGGAAUCUCCUCGUCCGGAUCCGAGUAAUAGUCGGGGUCCUCGAUCAAAUCCGAGUUGGAUUGCGAUUUGGAUAGGGUAGCUUGGUAGGCAGCACCCGAGCUUCGAAGUCCGAACGGGAAUCGACUUGUGUUGUAGAUCGAUUCACAUGAUGGCUUAAGCACCAGCUCGUGGGAACCAGUCCAACUGGUGAGAGAAGUCGAAUUGUACUCGGACUCGUCCCUUGAGCCUUGGAAGAGGUUGAAAAUUUCGUUGAAUUUUUCAACGAAAUCCUCCAAAGCUUGGCGAUGAAGGUUGAUGUCAUACUGCUUCUCCUCCAGGGCCAGCGCGAUGUGGCGGUGGAAAUUUCCAGUGCCGCGUGUGAUGCAAACCCAGGAACCGAAGAUGAAUGUCGCGCCCACUCCUAACACAACGGUGCGCUUGAUGAUGACUUGAGCCAUCGAGUUUGCCAGCGGAUCUUUAGCGAGACCCCUACCUAGCGCGCCAGCUGUUGGUGUUUAGACCCCGCAACCUACCGAGGGUGUACUCGAGGUAGUGUUAUUAUGCGUGGGGCUCGCUGAGAUUAGAAACUCAAAGGUAAACUUGAACACACGAUUUAGAUAGGUUCGAGCCGCUUAUGUCGCGUAAUACCUUACGUCCUGUGUGUUGGUUGUGUUGUAUUGAUUGAACUUGUUUGGAGGAGGUCCGUGUCUCGCCUUAUACUGCCGGAGGCAGGGUUACAGGUCGGUUGUUUACCAGAAUACUAGUCAAAUUCGACUAAAGAGUCAUACUCUAAUUGCUACGAGUAGUUUCCUAAUCCUCGACUAGUUCUUGUCCUCCACGUAGACCACGCCGUCUUGCACCGUAGUCUCCAUAUCUGAUACAUCUUAGUGUACAACCUCGUAUGUAGGACUGUCCGAGCCUUCUAGUGGGCCCAUAGAUGUAUAGAUGACACAUCCCCCGCGCUAACAUUAGUGGCAGCUAGGAAGUUGAUAAAAAUGGCACCAAUUACAACAUAUUGCUUCCAUUAGCGAGGGAACAUUUAAAAUCAAAAUAAUAAUUAUCAGAUUAGCAUCUCCCCUUCGUCCACAAAAUAGUAAUGGAGCUAGAUCUUCAACUGAAUGUCUCAAUGUUUUGUCAACAAGUUGGGUUUCUUUUGAGGUGCAAAUUGUACAGGAAUGAUCAAUCCGAUUUGGUUUUUCGAUGAACUAAUCCAACUGAUUGGAAGAGACUACUUACUGACCGGACUAAAAUGACUUGCUACCGCACUACACUGUAAAAAAAGAGGUUCAUGAAGAAAUUGAUGCCUAUCAGGUCGAUGUCCCACCACGACAACCUUGACUCGACGAUACAACUAACGAGAAAACACCAAAAAUAAAAUUCCUUACCAUCCAAAUCAUCACGAAUCGAGAUCCCAGCCACCCAAUUCGAAAUCCCGAAGCAGGAAUCGAGAUCCCGGUCACCCAAAUCGAAAUCCAAGCAGCUAGAAUCGAGGUCGAUUUGGCAGGAGUUGCUUGUGCCCAAAUCGACUUCCUUGUUGCUGAAUGGAAGUUUGCCGCAACCCAAAUUGAGUUUUGUGCCGUCGCUUCCUGCAUCUAAAUCGAUCUCCUCACAGCAUAGGCCAGGCGAGCAACUUCCAGCAGAGGAGAAAGAAUGGGAGGAACGGGGCUGACGGACGGCGCCACUCGUGGCGUGUCCAUGUGGAGCUGGGACGGAAAAAAAAAAGAAAGAGGGCCCGGCCCCUGGAGAGGAGCGAUUUGAUGGCCUCCACGUGUUCGGAGACACGGAUGGAGACACGUUAAGGGAACACGGAAGCUGCAGCCAGGAGCGCGCCGUCGCCUCGCGAGAGGACGGCAGGGGCUCGUGUUCCCAAGUUUAAUCGCCCGCUCGUGCUCCGUUGUACGACCCCAUUCUCGGAGACGACGACGACGAGCGAUCCUGUGCGGCGAGCCGGCGAGGUUCUCCAAGAUUUGGCGCGGAAACAUGGCGGCAAAAGUCUAUCCCCGCGCCAUUUUCCCUUCCCCUCCACCUCCCCAAUCUGUUCCCAAUCCUGCAAAGCCAGCAACCAUGCGGCGACAGCGGCGGGAUGCAGCGGCAACGCGAGAUCUGCUGGAAGCGGCGCCGGCACGGGAGAGGAAAGGUGCUGCGGCAAGGGAGCGGAAGGCCGAGGUAAGGACCCUUGAGGAGAAUGGCCCUGCAGCGGAAGGGUGCAGUACGGGCGGAAGGAGCUGCCCCCGUUCAAUCCGCGUCAUCCUUCACCGACGACGUGAGGCACAUCCUCACAGUCACCGGCGCUCCCGCCUCCAGAUGCGGCGGCAUGCUGGAGCGGAAGGUUGCGAUGACGGCUGGAAAGCGGAAGGGCUCGCUCAAUAGCGGUGUUGUUAAUUUCCGGCUCUGUUCUGUUGCUUCCCUCCACGGAUGGAUUGGGUGCGGCAAGAUGGAGAGCGUGGCGAAGGGAAGCACGGCGGCGGGUUGCUGGAAGCCAGGAUCUAGCCCCAGUCGGUGUUCAGCUUCAUUACUGAUCUCCCCCAGUCCAUGCUUGCUUCUCUGAAUGUCCGUGUUGCUUGCUUCUUUGUUUACUUAAACGUCACUAAUGCAAAUGUAGAGAGCGAAGAUCGUGCAGAUCUUCUCUUUUCCAAUUUCUUAAUUUUUUUCCUGGUGUUUACAAAUCUGAAACGUAGACCUGUGUUUUUUUGUUUCAUGAGAUUCAGAACAUGAUGAAAUAUUAAGCAAGUUGAAAUCAUGACCUUUUGAUGACAGUCAAGCAUUAUGCUACUAAUAUCAUUUUUUUACAGUUCCAUAUGUAGAUAAUAGCAACGUAAUAUCAGUUCGAGUUCUCUGGUAGCAUGCUCCUGAUAUUCUAAUAACCUUGGUCAGUUUAACACAUGCUAGUAUUGCCAUUGAUUUUCACAGGCACAGUUGCUGAGCACUAGGGUCUACUACUAUCUGAUUCUUGUUAGGCUCACAAACUUCAAAUUCUGCCACUGAAUAUGUCUGCUAUGUACACGAACUAUAACUAUGAAUGUUUAGACUUCACAUUGCAGAUUUGGUCUGAAUGCUUUGACUAGCAAGGAGGAAGCCAAGGGAGGACCUGCUGUUGCAGCGCACUAUUAUGUCUGUCAGUUUUUCAUGUGAAUGUGCCGAAGUGUGAAUAGAUGCGAACAUGUGUCAAACUAGCAACAAAAUGACAUGCAAAGAUCAAAUAUAUAGUUGAUCGCCAUGUUAACUGUCUCUUUGGCUGCCUGUACGUGAUUGGCUGCCUGUACGUGAUGUGGCAUGUGUUCGCAGACAAUAACCACAUGCACUAAUGACAUGACUUUCCUUUUACAGUUUUACAGUAUCUUUUUUCAAAAAAUUUCUAAACAGUACAUAAAUACUCACAUGCAUGCAUGCGACCAUAGUAUGCACGAAAACACUUGCACACACAGAGAUGGCAACGGGGAAAACGCUCCCCCAUCCCCGUGGGGAAGAAAAAUCCCCAUCCCCGCCCCCGUGAACGCUCGUGGGGAACGUUUCCUUCCCAUCCCCGUCCCCGCACGGGGAAUUUGUCCCCGACGGGUCCCGUCCCGCAAAUUACCGACUUUUUUGUAUUUUGGCUCUUUUUACGAAAAAAUCUCACAAAUAGGCCCCUGGCGAAACCAAUUCCGAAAAUGGACCCUCAGCUUGGCGCCAGGUAUAACGUCUUGGCGCCAGCCAUCCUGGCGCCAAGGUCCCUAUGCCGCGCCUCCGACGUGGCGCCGGCCCGCUGACGUGGCGCGGAGGCUUGGCGCCAAGAUCCAUGGCGCCGAGCCUCGGCGCCAAGAUCUGUGGCGCCAAGGCUCGGCGCCACCGUCGCUGGCGCCAAGCCUUGGCACCAUAGAUCUUGGCGCCGAGGCUCGGCGCCAGCCUCCCUAGCGCCAAGCCCCCUACCAUAUAUAAUGCCCCUUCUUCCUGCCCGAGAGUUCCUCCUCAUUAUUCUCCACUCUCUCGGGUUUUUACUCUCCCUACUUUGCCCUAGACUACGAAUCGACAUUGUAGCUUAGGAAACUUUCAUUUGAUCCGUGGAUCCUGAAGAGCAAGGUAUCCUCUCUCCGUCGUACCUUUUUUUUCACAUCGAUUUGCUAUAUAUUUCUUGCAUUUUUGAACUUAGGGUUUCAUGCAAAUGUAGGAUGCCGAGGCGUGGAAAAGCUAAGAAACUAAGGUAAUCUCAACGCCCGUAGUUAUGUUAUAUACUCAUUGUUGUGGAUCAAAUGAAAAAACCUUAAUUGUAGGUUUAUUCUUAAGUGCGUUUGAUUCAUAGAACCAAAUAAACAAAAUUGUAGUUAUGGCGCAAAGAAGACCGGAAAUGCGUUCGAUCCAUUGCCUCUGCCUAGUGGUGUUCCAGUGCCGAUGUGCUUUUGCGGCGAUCCUUGCAAGGUAGCGAAGUCCGAAGAACAUGCCACGUAUAGGCAGAGGUAUUGGAUGUGUUCCAACUUUGCGUUUGAACCUACACUUCGUCAGCGCCGCAUUAACAUGUUGGUAAGGAAAUGUUGUUGUCUUAUAAUUAUUGUCCAUAAUUUUUUUGUUAUAUAACAAUUGCAUUUGUUGUAGACCCCUCCACCGCUAUGUGAUUUUGAGCAGUGGAUCGACACUGAGAUCGAUCCUGAAGACAAGGAGUUUUUGGAGUAUAUGAUGCGCUGGGAUGCAGAGAGGAAGGAGGUGUACGAGAAGAGGCUCGUAGAGGAGGCUGCGGAAAAGGAGCACAAGGAAGAGGAGGAAAGGAGGCGGGUUGCUGCGAACAGGGAGGAGAGAGAGAAGAAGCUUGAGCAGGCACGCCGAGCGAAAGCAGCGGUUGAGGAGAAUCCCGAUGCCUUAAGGAAGGGAAAGUGGCCUCGUUGCACUCAGUAGCCAUAUUUAGGUUCUAGUUCUAUGGUUUAUUUAUGAACAAUAUUUUCUACUGUGAGACUUUUAUUAUGUUGUCAUGUAAUAAUGCACUUUAAGUAAGGACACGCAAUUUGUAGACGACAUAUGUUCAUUUUGCGAUGUAAUGCAUUUCGAAGUCGUAGUCUACUAAAAUAUCCGUAGAAAAUAAAAAUGGUACUUGUUAGCGAAAUUUCGGCAGAAUUUCCCCUACUUGUUGAUGCAAUCCAUACAAAAUUACGAGAUGAAUAGUGAAUAUAAAUACAAGCAUAGAAACAUAGAAGCAUAUGACACAAGCAUAUGACACAUUCAGAAUAGAAUCCACAAUAGUUCAGAAUGAAAGUCCUUAUAUAUACAAAUAGUCCAUAUGAUACAAAGUUCGCAAUCAGAGUCGUCACUGCCUCCUAGUCUUACCCUUACCCUUGUGACCAAGGGUGUCGAUGCCUGGAGUGUAAGGAGAACGUGGACGACGUAGUCUAGUGCCCCCUACAAUCUGUGUAGGCUGAGUCAAGGGAGCCUCCUGGAGCUGAGACGGGCCAAUCUCCUCGGCCCUCUGCUCAUCGUCGUCGUCAUCGUCAUCGUCAUCGUCGUCGUCGUCGACUUCCUCGGAUGCAAUUGAUUUCGAACCUGAGGGGCCUUGGCUGGACGCCUCCUUCGCGCAGGGAUGGAACGUGCACGUCUCGCGUCGUGGCAGUCCUGCAACCACAACGAGCAGCGGCACGGCGAAGCCGAUUUGACAAUCGCUGCAGUAGUAAAAACAAGUUACACAAAUGAAGAAUGUAACGUAUUAAUAAAGUAUUAGAAAGAAUAAUUUGAGACUUACCUCUAGGAAGCUCCGCGUCUCGGGGUCCCUAACUCGUGGACGGAAUUGCUCUAUAUCUCUAACCGAGCUUUGUAGGGUACGCCCCUGCAACAAAUGACUAAGUCACUAAAGCAACAAAUGACUAAGUCACUAAAUGACUAAAUGAUUAAGUCAGAUGAUCACUAAGUCCUUAUCUAACUAACUAAAUCUCUAAGUAACCUAACAUAGAAUAUAGAAAAGUGAAGCAAUUGUCUUACCAUCCUAUCCAGGAUUGGUCCUACCUCCACCUGCCUUCCAGCACGAGUACUCUGAUCGUACACCGUGUCUUCAUCGUCGGAUGAGUGGAUAUCGGCAUAGUCAUCUUCCGUCCACACUUCCCUCAGCCUGUGCCGCGUCGCACCUUGGUACCAGCUCUGGUAUUGCCUGUACGCACUGUUUGUGUGCGGCUCGUUGUUCUCGUCCAAGUUCUGCUCGAACUGCUCCCAUUCCUGAAUGUACGCGUGGUGGAACGCGGGCCACUCGGAGACCUUCCGCUUCUUCUUUCGAUCCACGCUGCACGUCACGUUACACGUUACUGUUAGCCAAAAUUUAGUUAAUAGUAUUGAAAUAUAUGAAAAAGGAAAAGACUUACUUGUGUAACUCUAUACUAGUCGAGGUCGCCUGUGGUGGCCAAAUCUGCCUCAUCCCAAAUUGACGUGCUACUCGAUGUGGCAGGUGGUACUCGACAGCAUAGAAGCAAAUAAGAGGGCACACCAUCCUAUAAAUAUCAUCGUCCGUCGCACACACGAAGCUAAGGGGAAAAGGAAGUGGAUCGUCUCCGUCGUAAGGCUGCCAAUUUACCUGCAAAAUUUGAAUAAAAAACGUUAGUUGUUAUACUAAAAGAUUACAAAGCAUGUUUAAAAAAAAUUCACUUACACUAUGAGCAGUGAGCGCGUCUAUCUCGUUGAUGUAAUCCAGGUACGCGCGGUCCAACCUCGUAUGGCUAACCUUAACCUGAUCCCAAAUAUAUGCCCAUGUCGGCUGUCGUCUCGGCGGCUCACCUGGGAACCACGGUCGACGCGGCAUAAUCUCGGGCCGACCAACAGGAAGACGGGACCACAUCCAUAAUUCCAACAGGUAGACACACCCACCAACUGACGGGGAGCCCGAAGUCCGACGGCACGCCUCGCACAGCUGCCGGUAUAGAAAGCACAACACAGCUGAUCCCCAGCUGUAAAAACCAGCCUGGUGCCAGUCAGUGAGGCAGUGGAUCCACAUCCAAGACGCAGUGUCACCUGUAGCGUCUGGGAAAAGAACACAGGCAAAGAGGUGUAGUAUCCACGCCCUGCAGUAGUGUCCAACUGUCUCAGCAUCCGCGUCCUGGGGGCACUGGCCGAAGUGUUCCCGCAGCCAUGAGAUUAGCACUCCAGAUGUGCGAGUCCCCUGCUCCUCAACCUCUCGCCCCAGGAAGGCUGCGACUCGUGCUCUCCAACCAUCUGAGACGCACGGCCCAGUGACUGGCUGGCCCCGAAUCGACAGACCCAGCAUCUUCUGACAGUCCUGUAGGGUCACUGUCAUCUCUCCGAACGGGAGGUGAAAGCUGUGAGUCUCGGGUCGCCACCUACAUUUCGCCGGAUUAUUAUUUGAUAACAUGUAAAGACAUAACAAAAUGAAUAUGAUUAGUGGUAACAGUACCUGUCAACCAACGCAGUUAUAGCCGCUGAAUUGAACUUGGGCAUCCCACGACGAACCUUAUACGAGAUGACAUCUAGGCCAGCCAUCUGUAGCAAAGGAGUGUAGCGGUCGUCGUACUGCAGCGCCAAAAACCCAUCAUGGGCUCUAGAACGAAGGAGCGGAAGGACCUGCAUGCAAAUAAACCGAGUCAGAGAUUUCAUAGGACACAAGACGUGGACGCUCGCAAAGCUUUAAUCAUGAAUUGUAAAUUAUUACCUGCCCUCCCGCUAUGAGACGACCUCGGUGGGUCUGGUCGUACGCCUGGUCUAGAAGGUGGAAGUGCGCCAUCCUACAAAAAGGCAAAAAGAAAUAAGAUUAGUAAACAAUAAAUCAUGAAGUUAGAGAUGUAGAAACACAACCUGUAUGAAUAAAACACAUAUCAAGUAACGAAAAGAGCUACUAGUCGCACCUCACUAAUUUGCCAACGGCAAGUGCGUGAAUUAUGACCCAAUCUGCCGCACUUGCCGCACUCGUUCUGUUCUGGAUCAGCAAGAAAUGGUGUUGCUCUACCACGCCUCGUUCUUCCGGAUACCUGAUCCAUAGUCAUGUUAUGCCUCGUCCGCUUCCUUGUUCCACGUUUGUUCCAACGGUAUGCAGGAUCCGCAACAUAUUUUGGCCCAUCAUAUGGAGGCCACUCUCUAGGAUCCCGGAAAGGCACGAAGCGGGGGCUCCAUGUCCGCACAAGGGUGCCUACGCUGAACUCAUGUGGUAUCAUGCUCUCGAUAUCAAAAUUGCGAUGCCUAGCUGCUGCCACCAAAUGAGAACAUACGAAGUGGUACUGCCUUGGCCUACCACAAGUGCACUUGAAAUCUCGGAGAACUACCACAUGUAUCCUCGACUCUCGGAUCUCACCGUCGGACGUUGUACCGCCCCUAUGCUCCACCUGAUAAGUCCCUGAGCCGAGAUCAAAACAUUGCACCUCAUGUGUGGAAGCCCUUUCAUUUGCAAUGAUGAGAUGUCUCUUUGGUUUUUCAGCCCAUCUCUCCCCAGCAAUCUGCAACGCUUCUGCUUUUGCGUGUCUUUUAUUGAACCACGCAACAAGCCUGUAGAAGGUGAAUUCAACGAUUGCGUUCACAGGCAUACCACGUAUCCCCAAUAACAAUUUAUUGAAUGACUCGGCCAUGUUACUGCACUGAAACUCGUACCUCCAACCACCGGCGUCGUGAGAUCUAGUCCACUUAUCUAAAUCUCUCAUCAAACCAGCAAGCCAUUGUCGACCUUCUGCAUUUGUUGCGGUCCUUACCUGCUCCAAUUUGCGCUGAAAGUAAUAGUCCUCAAGCUGAUGUGCUGCAACUUGAAACAGAUCAAAAUUAUCCUUCACACCAUCCUUCCGAAGAAGGUUCUCCGCAAGGUGCCGAGUGCACCAACGAUGAUGCAAAGGUGCAUAACCCUCUAUCUGUUCUUGCACAGCAUGAAGUAUGCCCUGAUGCCUAUCGGAUAUGACGCCAACCUCACUACUAGGACCAACCACAUGUAUCCGGACUAGUCUUAAGAACCACCCCCAACUGUCAUUGUUCUCCCUCUCAACCAAUGCAAAUGCCAAAGGAACCAACAUAUUGUUCGCGUCACAAGAUAUGGCUAUAAGAAGUGUGCCUCUAUAUUUGCCAAUCAAAAACGUACCAUCAAUAGAGAAAACAGGACGACAGUGCCUAAAGGCUUCCACAGACUGAGGGAAGCACCAGAACGCACGCUCGAAUAUCUGCCUCCCGUCCUUCCAAGCAUUUGGCUUUGGGAUGUACUCAUAAUGCAUGCCUGGAUUCACCGCUUUAAUUGCAUUAAAAAGAACUGGCAGCUGCUCGUACCCAGACUCCCAAUCCCCAUAAAUCAUCCUCCACGCUCGCUGCUUAGCCCUCCAAGCUUUACCAUAAGUUAUCACAUAUCCUCCAUAAAUCUCCUCAACAGUUCUUAUAAUUGUUCUCACUUUCAUGUUGGGUUGUUCCUUCAAUAUUCCCAUCAAUCGCUUCGCAAUGAGGGUAGAUGUUAGCUGCGGAUGUCUCACUGUAAGCUCAUGGUCAGCACAAUUGUGUGGACCGACAACUUUUGUGAUCUUCCACUUCCCGGUGAUAUUUUGCUUUCUUGCACAAACCCUCCAUGGACACCGUUCCUUGUCACACACAACUGUGUAACGGCGCUCCGCAUAUGAAUGCAACACUUUGUAUGGUCUCUUCCGUAUCACCGCAAAGGCUUGCAACCAUCUCUUCAAUGCGGGAAGGUCCUUAAAUACCCUACCCUCCUCAAUAACCAUACUAGGACCAGCUUCAGGAGCUUCUAGGAGCUCAUCAUCAUGUCCUUCUGCAAACGCCUGAUCGGAAAGAGUCAGGUCGCUAAACUCGUGAACUAUCGGAUCACGACGUCCGGGGAAUAUACGCCUGAACAUCUCAAUAUCACUCUCUGUCAUCUCUCCAACAGGACGAUCAUCAUCAGAAUCAAGAUCCACUCCCAUCUCGUAUGCAUCUUCAUCAUUCAAAACUUCAACACUAUUAGAGCCACGCAAUCCAUCUCCACAUUGCACUUGCGCAUCAACUAGAGGCACAUCCACAUUUUCUGGAAUAUCUCCUGCGCCAUCAAGUACAAAUAUGAGUAAAGAAUAAGUGGAUGGAACGAAUGGAUUAUCUCGUAUCAAUAGAAACCGGUGAGACACUUACUCGGAUCAUUCUGAGUGAAAAGGAACUCAUUAGGAGAGUCCGCCACAUCAUCAACAAUCCGACAACCAUGUCCAACUACUUCAUUAGGGGCAGAUUCAGCAUUGGGAAUAGUAGGUGCAACAUCCACGUCCAUAAUAGGUUCUGGGACGGGAGGAUCGAAAUGUGCCCGUUGACCCAUUGGUCGGGAAAACCGACGAGGAUUUCGAUCAACUCCGACCGGACGAACAACCACUUCAACACUUGGGGAAUGACCAUUCAUAACCGUCCUCACAUAUUUCUCCCACUGACCUGCACACCGAAUUGGGACCAUCUUCCUUUGAAUGUUGAGAGGGGAACCUAGGUGAAGUAUGCCCUCGACUGUGAUUUCAUCAUUUUCAUGACAAUGUAACUCCUCCCGAGCCCUUGCAACCAACUCACUAAACGAUGGUUUCUCAUCGAAUAUGACAACCUCGUACUGCAUGCCAACAAACUUAACACAUCCAUAUUCAUCCCUUUCCACAGUGCCUCCGUAAUAUAUGCUCACUACGUUCUCCAUCUAGUAUAUCAAUAUAACGACGCACAAUUCAUUUAGUCCAUAAUAAAUUAAACAUUCUAAGUCUACUAAAUACAACUAACUAACUAUGUCACAUAUACUAACUAACUAUGACACCUAAUAUGUACCUACAUACUUACCUAUACAACUACUUAACUAAAUAUCGUAAUAACUAGUUUACUAUGCUAUUAGUUAUCAUAUCUAACAAUUUACUUAACUAAAUAUCGUAAUAACUAGUUUACUAUGCUAUUAGUUAUCAUAUCUAACAAUUAUAUCUAUCUGUCAACUUAUCUAUCUACCUAUUUUAUCUAACAAUUCUACCUAUCUAUCUAAAUUUUACCUAACUAUUCUAAUUUAUCAAUAUUACUAUUUUACCUAAACCUAUCUAUCUACAUUGUAUUACAACAAUUACCUUCGAUCGGUCGGGAGCGGCCACAGGACGGGGAGCGGCCGCCCUCAGGCAACGGCGGGCGGAGCCCGGCCGGAGGGCACCGGCGAGCGGGGAGGCGCGGCUCGGGCCGGGCGCCUCCGGGCGGAGCUGUGCCGGGGCGGCGCGCGGCAGGCCUCCGGGCGAGCCGACCGGGGUGGCGCGCGGCGAGCCGCUCCUGGCGCCGGGCGGGGGCGCGACGGGGCGGGCUGAGGCGGCGCGCGGGGGCCGCCGGGAAGCCGGCCGGGGGCGGCGCACGAGCGCCGACGGGGCGGCGCAGGCCGCCGGGCGGGCGGCGCGUGGGCGCGGGCCGCCGGGCGAGGCGGCGGCCGGGCAGGGCGGCGACGGCGCGUACGGCUCGGGCGGCGGCGGACUGGACUGGACUGGAGCGCGAUAGGUUGGUUUCGAGAUGCAAAAACAAACUGCCCAGAAGGAAGGCCGCCGAUAUGGUUGAAGGCUUGGCGCCAGGGAGGCUGGCGCCGAGCCUCGGCGCCAAGAUCUGUGGCGUCAAGUCUCGGCAUCACGAUCUGUGGCGCCAAGCCUUGACGCCACAGAUGCCUGACGCCAAGCUGAGGGUCCAUUUUCGGAAUUGGUUUCGCCAGGGGCUUAUUUGUGAGAUUUUUUCGCGAAAAGGAUAAACAAGUCGAAUCAAGAAACAAGUCCGCAACUAUUACAUCACCGUAUAGCACAGUUUAAUAAUCAAGAGAAUCAAAUCUAAGCUGUUUUCAACACAACAGCGUCGUACAACGCCACUACCACAAGCCAAACUCUGUUUCUCACCCUUCCUUGUCGUCGUGAUGCUAUGUUGGAGCUCGUGGGCGCGGAAGACAAAGCUGUACAGCUAGUGUUGUUGAUACGUAGACGUCAGCUGUGGAUUCGUCGAUGGCCGCGGACGGAGCGUCACCCAAAUCUUGCGCGGCGCCGUGGCAGUCUUCGGCCUGUGUCACGGACUCGUGGCCUCCUGCGCGCGACCGCGCGUGCAGCAGAAGUUUGGGCGCGGGACGGCAGGGUCUGGGCGCGGGACGGCAGGGUCUGGGCGCCAGCCGCGCGGGGUCCGGCCGUCCGGGGCUCCGGGGUUCGGGCGCAGGAGGCUGGGGCCUGGGGGUGGCCGGCCGGCGGCGGCUAGGAAGGAAAGGGGAUGAGGGACUGAGGAACGGAUGAUGGAUGGAGUGAGUCUAGGGUUUGGAAUUUCUCAGCUGGUUAUUAUAACCUCUCGUAUUGGGCCUCGUUUUGAUGGGCUGCUAGGCCGAAUUAUGAACUCCUGCUGAAAUUAGUCGGGGAUGCAGGGAGACGGGGACGGGGACGGGGACGGUGAAUCAUCCCAUUUAAUUCUCUGUGGGGAUCAAUUCC